UUUGUGCUUUCCCUACAGCUUUUUUAGUUUCGAAAAAGAAACGAAUUUUAAUAAGAUUUCAAAGGAAACGGAACGAUAACUUUUUGGGAAACGUACGUGACUGCACGAAAAGUAGCACAAUGAAUGAAAAAAAUGACAAAAAUGUGGUGUGUUUGUGGAGUGUUGUGUGAAACUCUGGUUUCGCGGCUCUCCAGCAUGCUCUCCAUUCCAGGCAAAGAUUUGAGGCCUGAGCCAGUCAUCAUGACCACAAGAUAUGGAUGUUUUGCUUGUGCUGGACCUGGUGUUGACCUGUCAUCAGCAACAAUAUUAGUAUAACAUCGCUUGGAUACACAGCAUCCCAUUUGAUUGGAGUAAUUACCGAUGUCGGCCUUGUUACGGAUCUCCCAACUUCCCCAUUCUUUAAAUGUCCUCGUGUACACCCAUGCGAGUGUGGGGGUAUUCACGAGGACCUCCUUUUUCUUAUUCCGCCUGGUGCUGGAUUCGACUCAUCAACGGAUGGAGCACUUUUAGACGCCUGGCUGUAUUUCCCAGGCUUAAAGGUAGGACAAAAUUAAUCUCUAUUCUUACUUUUUGACUAUCUGGUAGCGUUGAUGAUUAUAAAUCGUGAAGUACGGAGUACGA